rnacentral:rRNA from 1 species
UACAGGGGGGGCAAGCGUUAUUCGGAAUUAUUGGGCGUAAAGAGCUCGUAGGCGGUCUGUCGCGUCUGCCGUGAAAACCCGAGGCUUAACCUCGGGCUGGCGGUGGAUACGGGCAGACUAGAGUUCGGUAGGGGAGACUGGAAUUCCUGGUGUAGCGGUGAAAUGCGCAGAUAUCAGGAGGAACACCGGUGGUGUAGACGGCUUUCUGGACCGUAACUGACGCUGAGACACGAAAGCGUGGGUAGCAAACAGG